CAAACCCCAGAUAACAGGAAAAUCCCUGGCAUCUUGUGAAGCACAGCUUGAAGGGCCAGUGAGUCCUCUCCUGACCUCUGGUUUUCUUCUCAGUGACCUGUUUUGUGAAGAAGGCUGAAGGGACAGAGACUGCUGAUCCCAAAUGUGAUGCCCCCUGUGCUAUAGGCCAUCCAAAACCACCAAAUUGGAAUAGCUCAGCUGGUAGAGACCUGCCGAGCACACCGGGAACUGGGUCAGCUCUCCCCACUGAAAUAUUAUAAGAACAGGUGUCAUCAAUGGUCCACGAUUCCCCUCUGGGCAUCUACCCAGUGGGCUGGAAGAGGAAGACAAAGCCUGGGAUUGGUGAAACCGGUUUGAUUCCCAGUGCCACUCUGUGCUCUCCUCCAAGUUCUUUAGCAACGGUGGGAUCUAACCUCAGAAGUCACCGAAGUCCCGCAUACGUAAGGACACGGAAGUGAAACACUCUGGAGCUCCUGUCCACACCUGUGUGUUGAUUCCCACUCGGAAAUCCCUGCCAAUGCCCUUCCUUUAGAACUUCCUACCUCCCCUCAUACUAGAGCAUCCUGAAAUUCUUUUUUGUGGUAACGUGAAGCUCAGCUGAAUCUGAAGGGGGCGCUCUGCAAGGAAGGCAGGCGGCUGAGAGACUGCAGUGACCGAGCCCGCAAUCCUGAGGUCAUCCUCCUCACAUAGCUGCAUUAACUUCCCAGCUGCUUCCCCAGCUUCCUUGCCCGAGUCUUUUAUAAUCCUUUUUCCACGCUGCAGACAGCGAUCUUUGCAAAAUGGAAAUUCGAAACCACAUAAGUCGGUUUCUAAAAAUUCAGCCCUGGAUGGGAUGUUGUCUUCAUCUGUUUGUGCUACCAUAACAAAAUAUCACUGGCUGGGUAAUUUAUAAAGAACAUUUUUUCCAGUUCUAGACCAAGACCAAAUUGCCGACAAGCUUAGUGUCUGGUGAAGGCCAGUUUCUCAUAAAUGACACUGUCCAGAUGUCUUUACUUUGCAGAAGGGCUGAAGGCAUGACCUUGCUUCCUCAAGACCGUUUCUAAGGCACUAAUCGAUUCUGAGCAGUGCCUGCACAACCUCACCACUUCUAAAGCCCACACCUUACUACCACUGCAAUAAGGACCGAGAGUCAACAUGGGUUUGGAAGACACAUGUGAAGCAUGGUAAAUGCUAAGGAGAGGAUUGGGGGCGGUGGUGGCGCACGCCUUUAAUCCCAGCACUUGGGAGGCAGAGGCAGGCGGAUUUCUGAGUUCGAGGCCAGCCUGGUCUACCGAGUGAGUUCCAGGACAGCCAGGACAGAGACAGAGAAACCCUGUCUCGAAAAACAAAGAAACAAACAAACAAAAAGGGGGGGAGACGAUUGAGGAAACUGUAUUACCAGCUGUGUAUUAGAUAGAUUCGUUAGAUACGAAUCUUUGUUGUGUUAGGUGUAUAAUAGCAUUGUAGGGCAAUGUCCUUGCUCUUAGAGGACAGGUGAGUGUUUGUAUAGCAAUUAAGGGUCGAAUAUUCUGUACCCAGAGGCUGGAGAGAUGACUCAGUAAGUGAGAGCUAGUAUUGUUCUUGCAAAGGACCUGGGUUCAGUUCCCAGCACCCACAUGGUAGGUAGCUCACAGGAGUCUAACUCCAGUUUCAGAGGAUCCACCAACUGCUGCAACCCCCUCGGGCACCAGGCAUGCAGAUGGUGCACUUAUAUGUAGUCAGAAAAACACUCAGAUACAUAAUUUUUUGAAAAAAAAAUGCAAUUAACUGAAGUGAUUCAACAAAGAUAAUUAUUUUGUCAUUAUUAAGCACACAUUCAAUGAGAGAUACAAAACAAUUCUAGCAAAAUGUUGCUAGUGAAAAACAAGGAGUGGUGACUCAGACCACUAAUCUUGGCACUUAUAACGCAGAAGAGGCAGAGCUCCAUGAGUUCAAGGCCAACCUGGUCUACAUACUGAAUUCCAGGCCAAUCAGGACUGCACAGUGUGACUGUCGCAAAAACUGGGGGAUGUAGGAGGUGAGAGUAGGGGACAAAAAGUCAGUGAAAUUAGGUGAAAGGUAGAUAUAUUAUCUGCUAUUAAGCCGAUACUGCAAUUGUCCUGAACAUUUUAAAUGUCUCAGAGGCUAAGGAAAAUGUCAUUUCAUGUUAACUAUCCUGAGUCUGAUGAUCAGUGUUAUGAUUGUAUAGCAGAUUUGCAUAUUCUCAUGCUCAGGACUUAGAGGUAAAGUAUGUAAAAUUUAUUUUCAAGUGGCUUAGCAAACCAAAAGUAUAUAAACAUGUCUUAAAUGUAUAUAAAGUAAGUGUACAAAUGAAAGAUCUGGUAAGUCUAGGCAGGGCAUAGUGACUCUGAGCAUGAUGGUACCAGCCUGUCAACCCAGCCCUGAAAAGGGAAGGAAAGAGAGUGGUUGAAGCCAAGCAACCUGGGUCUACAUUAUCGGUACUGCCCGGCUGCCCCACACCCCAGCACAUAAACUACACACACACACACACACACACACACACACACACAGUGCACAAGUCUAAGGAAAAGUAGAAAGUAUUAUUGCUGGGCUUGAUAUUUUGUUGCAAGCCAGACUGAUGCAUGGACAGAGGCCCUGCUGAAAGGACGAGGGGUCAUGUCGUGAGUCCUUGCCUGGGCAGACCCGGUAAGGUCUGAUUUAGACUGGACCCAGGGCUUCCAGAGAGUUAAGGAUUCAGAUCCUGGGAAAGUGGCUCCCUUAUCCCAUCUGAAGGUAGAUGUGUCUGAGGAGUCCUGUGUUCUUUUGCCAAAGCCUUCCCCCUUGGGACCCUGUCACUGAAGAGUGACUUGCUGGUCCAGGUCAAUCUCUCCUCUCCUCUCCUCUCCUCUC